rnacentral:rRNA from 1 species
AGAGUUUGAUCCUGGCUCAGGAUGAACGUUGGCGGCAUGGAUUAGGCAUGCAAGUCGAGCGAGAACCAGUCCUUCGGAGCUGGGGAAAGCGGCGAACGGCGUAGUAAUGCGUAGGAACGUACCCCUCGGUCGGGAAUAACCACGGGAAGCUGUGGAUAAUGCCCGACGAUCUCUGCGGAGCAAAGGUGAGAUUCCGCCGGGGGAGCGGCUUACGUGAUAUUAGCUUGAUGGUGGGGUAAUGGCCCACCAUGGCAAUGAUGUCUAGGGGGUGUGAGAGCAUGGCCCCCACGACCGGAACUGAGACACUGUCCGGACACCUACGGGUGGCUGCAGUCGAGAAUCUUCGGCAAUGCGCGAAAGCGUGACCGAGCGAUGCCGCGUGGUGGAUGAAGGCCCUUGGGUUGUAAACACCUGUCAGAGGGGAUGAAAUCCUGGUUAGCUAUCCUUCCAGGUUGACAAAGCCUCAAAGGAAGCACGGGCUAAGUACGUGCCAGCAGCCGCGGUAAU